CAUUUUAGCUUUGCCAUCCGCGGACGGCUUGAGUGUUAACCAGCUCGGUGGACCGUUUGCCUUUCUGCGAGGGCAGCGGCUUCCUCUAGAAUAAAGAAUGAAGAAAAUUGAAAUGAUCUCUGAAACUCGAGAAUAGUUAUGUAAAAGAGAAAAAACAAAGUCUAUCGUUCAAAGGCUACUGAACCAGGAAACAGGCAGCCCGCGUUAAAAUCCCAGCUCUGGGAUCAACUGGUUAGAUUAUUUUCAUUCAGGCAUCUUUUCUUUCUGCACUACUUCAUCUACCAGUUGCUAACAUUGAAUGAACCUUUACAGUGUUCCAGGUACUGUUUUAAGAGAUUUUCUAUACUCAUAUAACAUUUUUGAAAGAAAAAGUGAAAUAUAGGCCUACAUGUUCAGCCUCAACGUGAACGUGAUGAGGAUGAAGACCUUUAUGAUAAUCCACUUUCACUUAGUGAAUCGGGAUUGGACUGCUGCAUUCUAAAAAUAAUGGUGAGAAGAAUGAAUAAAUUAGAGUUUACUAUGUAAUAAAACCUUCUAAAAAAGAGGAGAGGUAGCAGAAUUUACAAGAAGGUUAAACCUGACCUUACUGAAGAGAAUGAUACCCUCAUAGCAGCGCAUCUUCUUUGCUCACAGAAAGCUCCUUGGACAAAUGUGUUUUGAGUUUCAAGUGAGCAAACCUUCAAUGUGUCUGCCAUUUUGGGGAAGAAGUUGUAACUUGGAGUGAAGGUAGAGGGAUUUAUUAUGAGAGCUUUGCUAGCAGACAUCUCAUUCUUUAAGACAAAAUCAACGCACAAACAUAAUUGGUCAAAGGAAGAAAGCUACAAAACCAAUUCAAUAACAUCUGAAGCCUGAGAGGAAAAUGAAAGACAAGAGGCUGUGGCUGCAGCUGUGUCUGCUGACAACAGGAUAAAAAUGGUUGCAUUGAGAGUGAGCUGCAUUUUCACCAGGCAGAGCAAACUGGGAGCUAAUGUGUUUCUUGGAAAUCAAAAGAGGACUCCAAGAAUAGAAGCUUUUAAGAGGACUGGCUGGAGAGUCAAAGAAGAUCCAUUAGCUUCUGGACCACUGAAAACCUAAGGGCUGAUGGUGGGGCAGGGUAAGUGGCCGGCAGCAGGGAGACAUUUUCUGUAUCUAGGAUGGUAUAGAAAAGACCCCCACUGGACAGAUCUACAAAGAACAACUAAAGAGUCUCAUGGUAGAACAGGUCAGCUCUGGACAUCAUUCAAAUCCAGGGGAGCCUCUUAUACUGGAUUGCAAUUGUGUUGGGCAUGUACAAUGGUGUUCUUUUUCUCUAAUGGCUUCUUUCUUCUGGUCAGUCUCUGGAAGGGGUGAAAGAGUGAGAAAUAGUAGCCAGCAAGUGUAGAAAGAGAUGUGGAAGAGAGAACGGGGAAACAGAAAUUGCAUUUCUCCCACGUUCCAAAUGUAGGUUAUCCGGGUUAAAUGUAGGCCCCACCUGACUAGGCAAAGAUUUUUUCCUUUGUUGUGAGUUUGAAAAGAACUAAACAUCAUACUGAAGUGGAAUUAUUGAAAUUGGAUAGACCCAGGUUCAAAUGUUGACUCAGUUAUGUAACAUCUUGUGAAUUUUGACAGGUUCCUUAACUCCACUGAGUCUGUUUUUAUACCCAUGAAAUGGAUGUAGGAUUGUUAUGAACAUUAAUUGAAAAAUUAUAUAUAAAAUAAGUGUCCAGCAUAGUUCCUGGCACAUACUAGUGCUUGAAAACUACCAAUCAACUUCAUCAAUUUGUGUUAUGCCCUGCAUGGGCACAUAUUUGUCCUGAUACUCUUCAAAAUGUAGAAGUACCCACAGAAAAAUUGUCUCAGUUCAAGCACAGUAUUAUUAAUAUUCUACUGAGUACUAAGUAUGGUCGUUAAUAGUCUAAUAUGAGGAAGUCAAAACAGUCUCUGGAAAAAGUCUUUCUGCAAGCUUUUUGAAGCUUCAGGGAUUGCUACAAAGACUGGAAAAUCGAUCUUGAACUCAGCCUUUUAAUUUCUUUUCAUGAUUACUGUUCUCAAAUGGAGAAUGCAAUUAAAAUUAAUGCUGUCUUAGUUCACUUGCCUCAAAAUAAACAUUGAUCAAAUUCUAUGUGAA
rnacentral:lncRNA from 10 species